rnacentral:rRNA from 1 species
GAUGAACGCUGGCGGCGUGCCUAAUACAUGCAAGUCGAGCGAAGCGGGGACGGGUGAGUAACACGUGGAUAACCUCCUAUAAGACUGGGAUAACUUCGGGAAACCGGAGCUAAACCGGAUAAUUAUAGGUGGAUCCGCGCUGCAUUAGCUGGUGGGUAAGGUAACGGCUUACCAAGGCAACGAUGAAUAGCCGAUCAGAGAGGGUGAUCGGCCACCCUGGAACGGAGACACGGGCCAGACUCCUACGGGCGGCAGGAGGAGGGAAUCUUCCGCAAUGGGCGAAAGCCUGACGGAGUAACGCCGCGUGAGUGAUGAAGGUCUUCGGAUCGUAAAACUCUGUUAUUAGUGAAGCGGUACCUAAUCAGAAAGCCCCGGCUAACUACGUGCCAGCAGCCGCGGUAAUUC